GUCACAGGUGACCUUUCCCGGGAAGGGCUGAAAAAGGAAGCGGGUGAGAAUCCCGCGCGGGGCCGCCGCUGUAUUUGGAGAGCAGAAGCCAAUAGGUCACUGGUCGAACGACCGGGAAGACGGUGGAUGCGAUGACCCAUGAGCCAGAAGACUUGCCUGUGUCG
rnacentral:ncRNA from 1 species